GAUGAACGCUGGCGGCGUGCCUAACACAUGCAAGUCGAGCGGCAGCGAGGGGUGCUUGCACCCUGUCGGCGAGCGGCGGACGGCUGAGUAACGCGUGGGAACGUGCCCCAAAGUGAGGAAUAACUGCCCGAAAGGGUAGCUAAUACCGCACAUUAUCUUCGGAUCAAAGGAUUUAUCCGCUUUGGGAGCGGCUCGCGUCGGAUUAGGUAGUUGGUGAGGUAAUGGCUCACCAAGCCGACGAUCCGUAGCUGGUCUGAGAGGAUGACCAGCCAGACUGGAACUGAGACACGGUCCAGACUCCUACGGGAGGCAGCAGUGAGGAAUCUUCCACAAUGGGCGAAAGCCUGAUGGAGCAACGCCGCGUGCAGGACGAAGGCCUUCGGGUUGUAAACUGCUUUUAUAAGUGAGGAAUAUGACGGUAACUUAUGAAUAAGGAUCGGCUAACUACGUG
rnacentral:rRNA from 1 species